UACGUAGGUGGCAAGCGUUGUCCGGAAUUACUGGGCGUAAAGGGCUCGUAGGCGGCCAACUAAGUCGGACGUGAAAUCCCUCGGCUUAACCGGGGAACUGCGUCCGAUACUGGAUGGCUUGAGUUCGGGAGAGGGAUGCGGAAUUCCAGGUGUAGCGGUGAAAUGCGUAGAUAUCUGGAGGAACACCGGUGGCGAAGGCGGCAUCCUGGACCGACACUGACGCUGAGGAGCGAAAGCCAGGGGAGCAAACGGG
rnacentral:rRNA from 1 species